CUGGACAUCACUCACCUCUGUCACACAUGUUCAGACUCUGUCCACUGUUGUGGUCCUACUGAAGCUGUGAUCCGAUUGGUCCUCUCUGCUCUGGUGGGCGUGGCUACUGUCAUUAUUCUGGUUUAUGACAUCAGAUCCAGAAGAGCUGAACGAGAUCAAGCAGAGAUUCACACAUCAGGAAGUAUUGAAAUCUAAAGCAGAACGCUGAACUUUAAAGAUUCUUCAAGUGUGUUUUUGUCAUUAUAAAUAAUGAUGAUUAUUUGAGCUUCUCUCUUUCAGUGUCAUUUUAAAACUCUUAUGUGUAAGACUUUGUUUAUAUUUCUCUCUGAUACAAAAAAAUAAUGAAUGAAUAGACACAGAUCUCGCUUA